rnacentral:lncRNA from 1 species
GGUUCAUAAUCACCCUUUAAUUAAUUAACACUUUAACUAAUUAAAUUGAAUGCAACAUUUUCAUUUGGUUUUUUGUAUCCAUAAAAUUGAUUUAAAUGGAGCUAAACAAAAUGAAAAUCCAAUUCUCAUUUAAAGAGACAAAACAAUUUUGUUCUCUAUCUAAUUUGGGCCAAUAUGCAAUAACCACAACUUUUGGGCUAUAUUGCAAAACUUUUGGGGUCACUUUGUAAAGACACAAAAGUCCACUACUUCAUGUAAUUACACUAGAACCCAAAAUUUAAUCAAUGCAAAAACUUCAUUAAAGGAGCAAAACAAUUUGUCCUUUAGCGUUUUUGGACCUAAACGUAAAAACGUAAACUUUUGGGCCAAAGUGCAAAUACACAAAAGUAUCAAAACUUUAUGUAAUUGCAUAAAAGGCCCCAAAAGAACCCUAAUAAUAGGGUGGCCGGUUUUGGAGUGUUAGUCCACAAAAAUUUUGAAAAAUUUUUCAACAAAUUCAUAAAGCCUUGCAAGUGGUUUGUGACAUAAAUACAUGCAAGUGGUGUGUAAGGUGUGUAAGGUGUGUAAGUCUUACACACCCAUCACAAUUUCUAUCACCUUUCAAAAAAAAUAAAAAUGUUUUGAUGAUAGAUAUUUCACACCAAUCAACACAAAACAAAGACUUUAUGAAAUUAAUCAAAACUUUGAAUCAAAACACCAAACUUUUUGUUCUUGGCAAAAAUGUCAAGAACAAUGAAGAACAUUCAUGAAAAACCCAAAAUUUUUCCAUGAACAUUUUUCACCCAAAAACAUUCCAAAACCAUUCAAACUUAAGGGAAAUAACAUCUAACCAAACUAGGGUACAUAGGGGUUCCAAAAGUCACUUGAAAACACUUUUAACAAGUCAAACAAGAACCCAAAAAUCCACCCUUUGUAUUUGGCCGAAAAUUCCCAAAGUCAUGGCACCAAAUUUUAGCUCCAAUAUUCAUGCUCAUAUGAACUACAUCUACAACAUUUGAGAUGUCAAAUUUUCUAGCAAAAUUUACAUUCAAAAAACAAGAAUAAAGCUUGUAACAUAUUACAACUUUUAAAUCACAAACUAUGAACUACAAAACCCAAAAGGAUUCACCAACUACUAGACCUAGGCUCUAAUACCACUUGAAGGAAAAUUUUGUGAAAAACAUGUUCAUUUAAGCAACAUCUAUAAGCAUGCAAUUAACAAUUAAAGGCGGAAUCAUGCUAGCAUGCACUU